ACGCACGCUGGCGGCGUGCUUAACCCCUGCCAGUCGCACGGAAAGGCCCUGCUUUUGUGGGGUGCUCGAGUGGCGAACGGGUGAGUAACACGUGAGUAACCUGCCCUUGACUUUGGGAUAACUUCAGGAAACUGGGGCUAAUACCGGAUAGGAGCUCCUGCUGCAUGGUGGGGGUUGGAAAGUUUCGGCGGUUGGGGAUGGACUCGCGGCUUAUCAGCUUGUUGGCGGGGUAGUGGCUUACCAAGGCUUUGACGGGUAGCCGGCCUGAGAGGGUGACCGGCCACAUUGGGACUGAGAUACGGCCCAGACUCCUACGGGAGGCAGCAGUGGGGAAUAUUGCACAAUGGGCGGAAGCCUGAUGCAGCAACGCCGCGUGCGGGAUGACGGCCUUCGGGUUGUAAACCGCUUUCGCCUGUGACGAAGCGUGAGUGACGGUAAUGGGUAAAGAAGCACCGGCUAACUACGUG
rnacentral:rRNA from 1 species